AGUAAUGAGAAGCGGGAAAACAUGCGUCUUAUCAAUCCACCCUCAGUCUCUUAAAUCUAUCAGAACGCCAGAGUUCAUGCCAUUUGUUGUGUUCGUGACAAAUGAAGACGAGAUGGCCAGUGAUAAGAGUGAUAGCCGAACUAUGUACGACGAUUACAGACAGUAUUUCGACA